GAUUAUCUCACUCAUUCCACUACACUACAUGUAUUUCUUAGAAUGCUCCUACCACAACUACUCAAUUGGGUCUGACCCCCUUGCCUUCUUCUCAUCGUUAGAAAGGGUCUGAUGCUUAUAAGUUGUUUUUUUGCAAGAUGGGACAAAAUGAGGUUAUCUAUUGCUUUGUAGAGAAGGUGGUAGCUUGGUCUUGAGCAAGAGGGAGCAGAAGGUAGAGAAUUUGCUAUUCUUCAUUGGAUAGAGAUGGUCAAGCAACAAUAGUUGUCUUUAGAUCCAUUUAUAAAGGAGAAGAGCUACAUACUUGGUAGGGCUCCCCGAAUGAGAGAGAGGCCAACUGAGGAUUUGGUGGCUGGUCUUAAGCAGCAUGGUCUUCGUGUAAAUGUUGAUUGUUCUAUUGGUACAAACUGUCCAGAAUAUCAAAUGAAAGGACUGAAGACAUGAGGAAGGAUAGGCAUGGAGAAGAGGAUGCCACUUUUGCAAAAUGUGAAGACACUAAUGUUGCAGUAAAGAUUGCAUUAAGACCUCCACUACCGUAAAGAAUGCAAUACAGAUCAUGAGAACACCUUCUAUUAUAUACUUUAGUUUAAACCCACCCAAUUGACAUGAUCACAUGCAGCUUAACGCGACCGGAUCCGAGCACAAAUGGCAAUGGUGAAGUCAGUUUUCUAUUUUCCUGUCCAAUGGGUGAUGUUGUAGAUUUGAAUUCAUCUUAUUUGACUUGUACUAUUUGUUGUAGGUAAAGGUUUGAGAUUUUUUGAACAACUAAUCAUCCAUCUUGUGUAGCAUCUAAAACUUAUGAAGUAGUAAACUUCUAUUUCUCACUCAUGAAGUCAUAUGAUGUCCAUGUUAAAUUGACAUUGAUGACUUAUCUUUUGUUGAUGGUAAUUGGUUAGGGGGUUGUCUUUUCUAUUUCUUUCUCAUAUGAUUCUAUUAUUUGAGCCUUUGAUGCAGAAGACAUGUAUAUUAUUUUUUCUUUGUAUAAAUGGCAUGGAAAGAAAGGGAGGAGUAAUCAGAGAAUCAUAUUUUCAUUCUAAAUUUGCAUAAAUUAGGACUUAGGACUUAGGACUUAGGAGAAUGGUUUAUAAUUUUGAUGUAGCACAUUUUGAACUGUAACCAUGUUUUGGAAUACUUCAAUUACAAAGUAUAAAUUACAGCAUCCACAAGGAGAUUAAAUUUGGAACUGCCUUUUACGGAGUUGAAACACUUUAUACUUUUUCUUGUGAAACCAUUUCAAUAGUUUUGGCCAAGUCAUAGUGCCAAAACAACUAAUGUUUGGGUAAGUGCUCUAUAAUGUGCAAAGUUUCUUCAAUCUUAUUUUAUGGAUUAUUUUAGAUGCUUUGAUAUAUGUUUUGACAAACCAGACUUUAUCUCUUUUUAUUCUGCUUCUCUAUACAUGUCCUUAAAUUAGUAUAUCACCAAGAGAUAUAUGAAAAUCAGAAGUUUGAAUUUAUAGUCUAUUUUAUUUUAAUUGAAAUUUUUGAAUCUAAGUUAAUGGUUUGAUUAUGUCUUCUAUGCCACCUACUUUGCAGUGCUAAAAUAACUGAUGCUUUAGAUGAAUAGUGAGAACUGUAUGUCGAUACUGUGCAAAGAUACUUUAAUUUUGAAGAGAUGUCAAUGGAUUGACUUCGGUGGUCUGUUUUUAGAAGAACUGUGAUUAAAAUUGAGUUGUUGUCAAAUGAUCAAUAAAAGGUAGCUACAUAUUUGUGCUAUGGGAUGAAGGUCAUUUGUCUUUGUAAUUUCCUUCUUCGGGGCUGCUAGGCUCAAUUAUGAUUGGUACUGGUCUAUGAUCAUGUUGAGGGAAGGAUACUUAUGGAAUGAUGCUCACUAGAUUCACAACUCUUGCUCUUUGUUUCUUCCCUUAAAUGAUUGUCACUGUGUUGAAGUUUUUUAUUUGUCAUGUGGUGUCGUAUCUGGCUGCCAUGCUGCUUAUCUGAUUGUCAAGUUGUUCAAGUAUCUUUAUCGGUCAUGUGGCGUGGUAUCUAGAUCUAAACUAUUGAAGCCUCUACCUAUCAUGUUGCUUCUCUAGCUGAUUUACAAUUACUAUUCAGUGGGUUUUUUAAGGUCUUAUAAUUUGGUUGAAGGGUUUAGAUAAUUACUGGAUUUUGCUAUUAAUUUAUACUUUGGAUGCUGUAAUUUUUUCUAAAUAUACAAUUUUGGUUUCAUGAUCUUUUUACUAUUUGGAUCUUAUAUAACACUGUCAUCUUUUUUAAGCUAGGUGAACUCCUGUUGGCUGGUGUAUACCUGCCAACCUUAUGAGGGGCCAAGCAUUGCUGUAAUAUGUUGAUUUUGCAGCUCAAUAUAUUGGUGGAAACCAACAACAUAAAUCAAGAGUUUUUGCAAUCCUUGAAUCGUAUAACAAUGCUUUUUUUUUUUUUUUUUUUUUUGGGUAAGCAAAAUUAUAUUAAUAAGGUACUAGGGGUACCUCAACCCAAGAUAUGUACAGGAGAAACCAAAAAAGAAAGAAAAGAGGAAAGACAGCCAAGCCAAGGCCUCCAAGGCUCACAGAGCGUAGCAAAGAAAUAAAAAAUCAAAAACUACCAGCUAGCCAACACUGACAGCAGCUGCAAAAUUCUUCUUGCUACUUCCUUCCUUAUCCCAAAAAGAUUCCAGGCUCCAGUACAGGUCCACGAAACAGGGGAUAGUGCCAACAAGGUCAAGAGCAAAAGUUUAACAAUCAGCAUUUCAAUUCUGGUCUCAAAGAAUGCUCAAGCAGUACCUUGGGUUUAUACUCCAAUUAUAAAAAGAGUAAUGAAAGUCUUUACUCUUUGCUGUCAGCCAUCUCCAUGCCCUUAAUUUAACCAGUUCCAGCACCUUUUCCGCAUCCUUCUCUUCAUCUCUAAAAAUAAUGUUGUUCCUUGUUUGCCAGAGAGUCCAAACUACCGCUAGCCAUAUUGUUUGCGAUCCCCUUCUCUGAUUUAAUGUCCAGAACUCUCCCCCGUGCUGCAAGAAGUGCAUUCGGCAAUUUGCUGGUAGGACAGUGAGUGUACCCAGCCAUCUAUAACAAUGCUUAAAUACAAGAUCUAAAGUUUAGGAGGAAUUUUGCUACUAUUCAUAUGAUGUUUUAUCAAAUCCUGUAGUAGGAUGUUAACACUAUUAAAUUGAUUAGAAUGGGCUGAAGAAUACUACAUGAUUGAUAUCAUUAUGCACGCAACCUAUACAGUCCACAUUUAUUGUAUUCAAGUGCUGCUACAUUUUUCAAGUUGAAUUCAGUAACUUAGGAGUAGCAUUCUCUAUUUAUUGGUACUUCAUAUUUGCUGAAUGUGAAAAGACUUUGGUUACAA